GCACCCGUAGCUCAGUCGGAUAGAGCAGCGCCCUCCUAAGGCGUGUGCGGGGGUUCGAUUCCUCUCGGGUGCACCA
rnacentral:tRNA from 1 species